rnacentral:rRNA from 1 species
CCUACGGGAGGCUGCAGUGAGGAAUAUUGGUCAAUGGACGAGAGUCUGAACCAGCCAAGUAGCGUGAAGGAUGACUGCCCUAUGGGUUGUAAACUUCUUUUAGAAAGGAAUAAAACGAGGCAAGUGUGCCUUUUUGCAUGGACUUUAUGCAUAAGGGUAGGCUAACUCAGGGCCAGCAGCCGCGGUAAUACGGGGGUGCCGAGCGUUAUCCGGAUUGAUUGGGUUUAAGGGGAGCGUAGAUGGGUUGUUAAGUCAGUUGUGAAAGUUUGCGGCUCAACCGGAAAAUUGCAAUUGAUACUGGCAGUCUUGAGUACAGUUGAGGUAGGCGGAAUUCGUGGUGUAGCGGUGAAAUGCGUAGAUAUCACGAAGAACCCCGAUUGCGAAGGCAGCUUACUAAACUGUGACUGACAUUGAUGCUCGAAAGUGUGGGUAUCAAACAGGAUUAGAUACCCGUGUAGUC